GAAGGAAGAACCCCUUCCUUCCAAUUUUGAGUAAGAAAGGCUGAUAACCAGCACAGAGAAAUCCUGGAUGUUAGUGAAACUCCUGUGACUUAAAAGAAGGCAAAUUUGCGCAGAUUUUUCUCAACGUGUGCUCGAACAGGCAAUCGAGGGAGGCGUGCUGGGGCCGCGUCAUGCUGAGCGCGCCGUGAUACAGGCUCUGGGCCCCGCUUCGGCGCUCUACGGGCUGCCGUAACACCUACCCUGCGAAGGCAAAGCAAACUGGUUUUGAUGCCAUCGUUAACAUAGCCUGAACC
rnacentral:lncRNA from 1 species